CCUACGGGUGGCAGCAGUGAGGAAUAUUGGUCAAUGGACGAGAGUCUGAACCAGCAAAGUAGCGUGAAGGAUGACUGCUCUAUGGGUUGUAAACCUCUUUUAUAAAGGAAUAAAACGAGGCACGUGUGCCUUUUUGCAUGUCCUUUAUGAAUAAGGAUCGGCUAACUCCGUGCCAGCAGCAGCGGUAAUACGGAGGAUCCGAGCGUUAUGCGGAUUUAUUGGGUGUAAUGGGAGCGUAGAUGGGUUGUUAAGUCAGUUGUGAAAGUUUGCGGCUUAACCGUAAAAUUGCAAUUGAUACUGGCAGUCUUGAGUACAGUUGAGGUAGGCGGAAUUCGUGGUGUAGCGGUGAAAUGCGUAGAGAUCACGAAGAACCCCGAUUGCGAAGGCAGCUUACUAGACUGUUACUGACACUGAUGCUCGAAAGUGUGGGUAGCAAACAGGAUUAGAUACCCGUGUAGUC
rnacentral:rRNA from 1 species